rnacentral:rRNA from 1 species
GCCUAGGUCGGAUUAGCUAGUUGGUGAGGUAAUGGCUCACCAAGGCUACGAUCCGUAACUGGUCUGAGAGGAUGAUCAGUCACACUGGAAGUGAGACACGGUCCAGACUCCUACGGGAGGCAGCAGUGGGGAAUAUUGGACAAUGGGCGAAAGCCUGAUCCAGCCAUGCCGCGUGUGUGAAGAAGGUCUUCGGAUUGUAAAGCAAAUUGAAGUGGGAGGAAGGGCAUUAACCUAAUACGUUAGUGUUUGACGUAC